rnacentral:rRNA from 1 species
AUUGAACGCUGGCGGCAGGCCUAACACAUGCAAGUCGAGCGGAUGAAGGGAGCUUGCUCCUGGAUUCAGCGGCGGACGGGUGAGUAAUGCCUAGGAAUCUGCCUGGUAGUGGGGGAUAACGUCCGGAAACGGGCGCUAAUACCGCAUACGUCCUGAGGGAGAAAGUGGGGGAUCUUCGGACCUCACGCUAUCAGAUGAGCCUAGGUCGGAUUAGCUAGUUGGUGGGGUAAAGGCCUACCAAGGCGACGAUCCGUAACUGGUCUGAGAGGAUGAUCAGUCACACUGGACCUGAGACACGGUCCAGACUCCUACGGGGGGCAGCAGGGGGGAAUUUUGGAAAAUGGGCAAAAGCCUGAUCCAGCCAUGCCGCGUGUGUGAAGAAGGUCUUCGGUUUGUAAAGCCCUUUAAGUUGGGAGGAAGGGAAGUAAGUUAAUCCCUUGCUGUUUUGACGUUACCAACAGAAUAAGCACCGGCUAAUUUCGU